UGCUGGAGGUAUCAGAAGUGCGAAUGCUGACAUAAGUAACGAUAAAGCGGGUGAAAAGCCCGCUCGCCGGAAGACCAAGGGUUCCUGUCCAACGUUAAUCGGGGCAGGGUGAGUCGACCCCUAAGGCGAGGCCGAAAGGCGUAGUCGAUGGGAAACAGGUUAAUAUUCCUGUACUUGGUGUUACUGCGAAGGGGGGACGGAGAAGGCUAUGUUAGCCGGGCGACGGUUGUCCCGGUUUAAGCAUGUAGGCUGGUUAUCCAGGCAAAUCCGGAUAAUCAAGGCUGAGGUGUGAUGACGAGGCACUACGGUGCUGAAGUAACAAAUGCCCUGCUUCCAGGAAAAGCCUCUAAGCAUCAGGUAACAUCAAAUCGUACCCCAAACCGACACAGGUGGUCAGGUAGAGAAUACCAAGGCGCUUGAGAGAACUCGGGUGAAGGAACUAGGCAAAAUGGUGCCGUAACUUCGGGAGAAGGCACGCUGGUGUGUAGGUGAAGUCCCUGCGGAUGGAGCUGAGACCAGUCGAAGAUACCAGCUGGCUGCAACUGUUUAUUAAAAACACAGCACUGUGCAAACACGAAAGUGGACGUAUACGGUGUGACGCCUGCCCGGUGCCGGAAGGUUAAUUGAUGGGGUUAUCCGUAAGGAGAAGCUCUUGAUCGAAGCCCCGGUAAACGGCGGCCGUAACUAUAACGGUCCUAAGGUAGCGAAAUUCCUUGUCGGGUAAGUUCCGACCUGCACGAAUGGCGUAAUGAUGGCCAGGCUGUCUCCACCCGAGACUCAGUGAAAUUGAACUCGCUGUGAAGAUGCUGUGUACCCGCGGCAAGACGGAAAGACCCCGUGAACCUUUACUAUAGCUUGACACUGAACAUUGAGCCUUGAUGUGUAGGAUAGGUGGGAGGCUUUGAAGCGUGGACGCCAGUCUGCGUGGAGCCAACCUUGAAAUACCACCCUUUAAUGUUUGAUGUUCUAACGUAGGCCCCUGACCGGGGUUGCGGACAGUGUCUGGUGGGUAGUUUGACUGGGGCGGUCUCCUCCCAAAGCGUAACGGAGGAGCACGAAGGUUAGCUAAUCCUGGUCGGACAUCAGGAGGUUAGUGCAAUGGCAUAAGCUAGCUUGACUGCGAGCGUGACGGCGCGAGCAGGUGCGAAAGCAGGUCAUAGUGAUCCGGUGGUUCUGAAUGGAAGGGCCAUCGCUCAACGGAUAAAAGGUACUCCGGGGAUAACAGGCUGAUACCGUCCAAGAGUUCAUAUCGACGGCGGUGUUUGGCACCUCGAUGUCGGCUCAUCACAUCCUGGGGCUGAAGUAGGUCCCAAGGGUAUGGCUGUUCGCCAUUUAAAGUGGUACGCGAGCUGGGUUUAGAACGUCGUGAGACAGUUCGGUCCCUAUCUGCCGUGGGCGCUGGAGAAUUGAGGGGGGCUGCUCCUAGUACGAGAGGACCGGAGUGGACGCAUCACUGGUGUUCGGGUUGUCAUGCCAAUGGCACUGCCCGGUAGCUAAAUGCGGAAGAGAUAAGUGCUGAAAGCAUCUAAGCACGAAACUUGCCCCGAGAUGAGUUCUCCCUGAGACUUUAAGUCUCCUGAAGGAACGUUGAAGACGACGACGUUGAUAGGCCGGGUGUGUAAGCGCAGCGAUGCGUUGAGCUAACCGGUACUAAUGAACCGUGAGGCUUAACCUU
rnacentral:rRNA from 2 species